rnacentral:rRNA from 1 species
CAAAGAGACCGCGAAACCGUUGGGAGGGAAGCGCACGGCGGCGAGCCGUGUCCGCGUGGGACUCAGCAGGCGUGUCUUCACCYCGGGYGCCGUGACGCCCGCUCCGGCGAGUCUCCCCGGCUGCGGUCAGGGGAGCGUCGGCGGUGGGAGAGUGGCGGUGCCGCCUGCGCACUUUCCGCRCGGACUCGUCAGCGAGGAUCGCCUCGGGCCCAMRARGACGGUGGGRUAGGUGACCCGGCGUGGUCUCCGUGCCUCGUUGGGAGCUUACAGCCYGCCGUYGAGGCUGCGGUCGCGGCCCGAGCGUCGAUCGAGGUGAGGUGCGAGCGUCGUUUCGCCGGAGAGGCCGGGCRGGCAACGGCCGRCGUUUGUCGGUCGGUCUGCCCGGCUCCGCCGCUGGCGUCGAGUCGCUGCCGUGCGA